rnacentral:lncRNA from 1 species
AUGCAUCUGUGGUCCCAGCUACUCAGGAGGCUGAGGUGGGAAGAUCGCAUGAACCCAGGAGGUCAAGGUUGCAGUGAGCUAUCAUUGCACCACUGCACUCCAGCCUGGGCAACAGAGCAAGACCCUGUCUCUAAAACAAGAAACAAAGUGCACCAGUGUGUGGAUACCAGCUUCUCCUGGUGUGUGGACCUGACCGUACUUAGCCCCAUCGCUCUGGUGCCCUGCAGGGUCUACUUUGGAGCACCUGGAGCCCAAGAAGCUGCCCCUCACCUUUGUGAUCCCAGGGACCCCCUCCCUGAUCAUGAAGAAUGCAGACCCAAACCCACUGUGGUGCCUGAAGGAGCAGGGUCAGCCUCUGCCUCCCACAGCCUCUCUGAUGUACAGAGGAACCUGGUGCCGGCCGCAGUCAACCCCGAUGUGAUGACCUUUCUACCCACCCUCUUUGAUGUCUUGGUGCUGGCUGCUGUCUUUGGCGGCCAGGUAAGCUCAUGGUCUGUGCUCCUGGGGUCCCCUCACUGGGCCUGCCCACUGCCUGCAGGUAGGGGAGCCUACAGGCCAGGACUGUCCUUGGCUUCCCCUUGCAGGUCAUGGGUUCAAAGACCAUUCCUGGGUUCCACCACCACCAAGCCUCAACGGUGUCCUGAUGGGCACAGGAGCUGCUGGGGCUUUCUAGGUUAA